rnacentral:rRNA from 1 species
CCCUAGUACAUGGAAUGUUAGGCAAUUAGUAUGAGUGAAAUUUAAUAAUUUUGGCAGUUAAUUAAUGAUUAGAGGAGCUUGUUUAAUGGAAAUUACUCUUUGUAUCUUUUUAAUAAAUGAUUUAUUCAUCUCCGUUAUUAGAUUCCAAAUUAUGAAAAUUAUUUUUAGUAUUUCAGGUCAAGAUGUAGUUUUUAUUAUAAUAGAAUUAGCUACAUUUAUGUAAUAAUGGAAUAUUGGGAAGAAUUUUUUUAAGAAAUUGAAUUUAGUUGUAAUAUCAACUAGAAAGUUAAUAUGAAGGUUAAUUGAUUAGUGUA